rnacentral:rRNA from 1 species
CCUGACGCAGCAACGCCGCGUGAGUGAAGAAGCCCUCGGGUCGUAAACCUCCGUCAGGAGGGAAGAAGUGGGUCCUGGUUAACAGCCGGGGCCUUUGACGGUACCUCCAAAGGAAGCACCGGCCAACUCCGUGCCAGCAGCCGCGGUAAUACGGAGGGUGCAAGCGUUAUUCGGAAUUACUGGGCGUAGAGGGCGCGCAGGCGGCCUGUUUAGUCAGUUGUGAAAGCCCGGGGCUCAACCUCGGAAGUGCAACUGAAACUGGCAGGCUUGAGUAUGGGAGAGGGAAGUGGAAUUCCUGGUGUAGCGGUGAAAUGCGUAGAUAUCAGGAGGAACACCAGUGGCGAAGGCGACUUCCUGGACCAAUACUGACGCUGAGGCGCGAAGGCGUGGGUAGCAAACAGGAUUAGAUACCCUGGUAGUCCACGCAGUAAACGGUGAUCACUAGGUGUUGCGGGCUUUGAUGUCUGCAGUGCCGAAGCAAACGCAUUAAGUGAUCCGCCUGGGAGUACGGCCGCAAGGUUAAAACUCAAAGGAAUUGACGG